rnacentral:lncRNA from 1 species
UUGAAUGUGAUUUGAACCGACCUCUUCCUCCUCCAUCUUCCCUUUCCUGGAUAAACAAAAUAGACAGCUUUCAAUUUUCCAAACAUAUAACUUCAGCUCUUUGUGGUAAAAGGAAGUGUAAAGAAAAAAAUUCAGAUGAAAAAGCAUUAAGCAUUAAUAGAUCAUCUGAAGUCUAAAAAAUAUUUGCCCGCUUGCAAACUUUUAAGAUCUUUGACUUUAAGAAUGUCUAAAAUGGAAUCAUACAGCAAGGGGCAUAAGGUUUAGGGUGAAUUCUUGGAUGUGAAAGUUCCUAGUCAUAAAGGUUAUUGACAUAGUUCUAUACAGCAUGCAUUGAGAAUCAUGCAGUGAUUUUUUUCAUGAUCAAGAUACUGAUGCCUCACCUUUUUCUUAACAAUCUGAACUACAUCCUCAUCUUGGAGAACAUGACCAAGGCCACAGUGCUGCGGGUAGUGCCUUGCGCUUGUAUCCUCAUCUUGGAGAACAUGACCAAGGCCACAGUGCUGCGGGUAGUGCCUUGCGCUUGUACCCCACACAAGCACAUAUUUCACAUCCUUAAUUAAAUUUCUGUGUAUGUGAUUGCAGAAGUCUUCAACCGUGCACCCACCUCUA